rnacentral:lncRNA from 1 species
GGCCAAUUGCAGGAGGGUCCUUGACUCUGGACUGUGCCCGGGAACUGUUUGGGAGAGUGCUAGUUGGCACAGUCUGUGAGAUGUUUAAACAGCUUACUAAUGCAUGUGGUCAUGGUUCAGUGCCUGGAAAUGUCCCCAGACUCUGUUUAAUUUUUUAAUCAAUAUGUGGCCUUCAGACACUGAGCCUCUGCUGUGUAUUACAAGGUAGCAGUGCUGCAGACCACAAAAGAGGUUUACGUGUCUACCCACGGUCACAAGGUAGUAACUUUCUGCCUAUUGCUUCUGCAAACUGUUCAGCGCUUACACUUUGACGAAGGAGAUGAGUGGAGGGCACAUUUGCUUCAGCAGCAAGUGCAAAACUCUGUAAGAGAACAUUCAUCUUUUUCAAGAAAAGUGGAAGAAAAGGCAAGCAAGAAAGUGUGGAAGGGAAAGUGAGCUAAAGAAAGCAAGGUAGCAAACAAUUAGGCAAGAAAGAAGGAAAGAAAGAGAAGGUUUAAAAAAAAAAAAAAAAGCAUGUAAGGAGCAACAAAAUCCAUAAAAUAUGUAAUAAAGCCACAUGGAAAAAGAAUACAUUUGAUUUCCUGCAUCUCUCUGAAUUAUGUUUCAGUAAAUGUACAGCACACAUACUGUGUUUAAAGCAGAUCUGACAACAUAUAAAACAUUAAAAAUAUUAUGACAUUGGCCAAUAUUUAUGAUGUAUAUUUCCACACAUAAAAUAUAUCAUGUCAUGUCAUUGAUUUUAAAAAGC